CCUACUACCUUACAAGCAAUGCUGGGUGCCCAGUUAAGGUACUGGUUACGUUCUUGGGCACGCCACCAUACGCACCACUGAACCAUUACUGUCGCUGUACGAUACUGUCCUUACCACAGGUAAGUUCAUGCACUAUGUCCACCUACUCAUUCACCGGGCUCGAACUAAACCCUAGCAACUACUCAGGGCACUCCUUUAGGAUAGGAGCAGCCUCCACGGCCUAUAGCCAAGACAUCCCCGCACACGUUAAGACACAGGGCCGCUGGGAAUCAUAGGCUUAUGCGACUUACAUUCCACAGCCGAUUCAGGAAUUAGG